CCAGAGGGGCCCCAGAGCACAAGGUGAACCCCAGCUCUGCUCCUUUCUGGCUCAAAGGGGCCAAGGCUGGAGCCACGCUCAGGGGACAUGAGAGUGAAGAGGUUUUUUUCUAGGAGGAAAAGCCCAGGCAAGAGUUGGAUAGGAGAACAAAGGUGAGGGCUUCUUGUGCCUAAGACUUGUAUCAAAGUCAGGCGACAUAUUUUUCCUGAUUCCAAAAAUUAUUAAGUUUAUGUAUGCUUCAUCCAAGGUAUUUGGGGGAAUGCAGAGAUGAAAAGGUGUGUCCAGCUUUCAGAAGUUAAGAAUCUGCCUUCCAGUGUGGGGCACUUGGAUUUGAUUCCUGGUCAGGAACUAAGAUCUCACAUGCCUGGGGCAACUAAACCCGCAUGUGCAGGCACGGGCAGCAACAGAAGACCAAAUACCGCAGCAAAAGAUCCCACGAGCCGUGACUAAGAAGCCAUGCAGCCGGUGUACGGUUACCGUCUGUUUUCUCCACUAGAUGACAAGCCGCAGGAUGACAGGGACCAGCUCGGGCUGGACCCUAGUGCCGUCGAAGACUGGCGCACACAGCAGCACGCCAGGCCUCCCUGUCCAUCACCAACUCCCAGAGUGCACUCAAACUCACGUCCUUCGAGUCGGUGAUGCCAUCCAGCCAUCUCAUCCUCUGUCCCCUUCUCCUCCUGCCCCCAAUCCCUCCCAGCAUCAGAGUCUUUUCCAAUGAGUCA
ensembl:lncRNA